rnacentral:miRNA from 1 species
CAUUUCAGGUCAAUUACC